rnacentral:lncRNA from 1 species
AAUAAGCCAGAGUGUAACUACAGCAUCGGUUCUCACAAAGAUUUGUCUAGAGCUGCUGCAUAUGUCUUACUUGGACAUCUAAUAAGGCUCAGCCAGCAUGAUGUCACCAGUGCACUGGGCCAACCAGCCCUUCUGUGGGGUGGAAAGGUGAGCAAAGAAAAUGAAAAUGUAUUCCACUGUCUUCCAGCUCCCUUUAUUUCCAUCAAGAAAUCUGCUGUCAUAUCCUUUGUUGGUUAUUUUAGUUUUCACUUUCAUUCAGUUUUAAGUACUUUUCUUAAUCUUAUUCUACAGCUGUUAAUACAAUGUUUCUUGGCAGAUUUUUGGGUCAAUGUACUUAGGAUACAUUAUAGUUUCUGACCCUUAGUGAUGCUAUGGACAUUUGGCUUGGAACAGCUCAAUCUCUCCAAUUUCUUUUGUGUUCACUGUUUCAAGGUCUGGAUUUAGCUCAUUUUUUUUUUUUUUUUCAGGGAGAAAGUAAAUCUUCAGAUAUUUUAUUUUAUGAGAAUCCACAAUGCAAUUAAACAUUUAUUAUAUACAGUAUCUAGUUAUAUUUUAGUGGGAGCCCUUCAAAAUGCUGCCCAUUGAAAAUAUUCAGCCCAGAAUAUUUACCAUAAAUUCCAUGUCUGAAAUAACUAUAUUGUUAACAUACUGGAAUGGUAUAAAAUAAUUUUAAAGAUUAUCAAAACACCUGGC